AUUGAACGCUGGCGGCAUGCUUUACACAUGCAAGUAGGACGAGUGGCGAACGGGUGAGUAACGCAUCGGAACGUGCCGAAUAAAGGGGGAUAACUGUCCGAAAGGACGGCUAAUACCGCAUAGUAUGCGAUCGGCCGAUGUCUGAUUAGCUGGUGGGCGGGGUAAAGGCCCACCAAGGCGACGAUCAGUAGCGGGUCUGAGAGUAUGAGCCGACACACUGGGACUGAGACACGGCCCAGACUCCUACGGGAGGCAGCAGUGGGGAAUUUUGGACAAUGGGCGCAAGCCUGAUCCAGCCAUGCCGCGUGUCUGAAGAAGGCCUUCGGGUUGUAAAGCACUUUAAGUUGGGAGGCGUUACCAACAGAAUAAGCACCGGCUAACUUCGUGCCAGCAGCCGCGGUAAUUC
rnacentral:rRNA from 1 species